AUGAAAUCCUUGAGCUUUUUGCUGGUGUUCCUGUGGCUUCAGUUUAACUGGGUGAGCAGCCAGCAGAAGGUGCAGCAGAACCCAGAAUCCCUCAGUGUCCCAGGGGGAGCCAUGGCCUCUCUCAACUGCACUUUCAGUGAUAGUGCUUCCAACAACUUCAGGUGGUACAGACAGCUUUCCGGGAAAGGCCUCGAGUUGCUGGUGUCCAUCUUCUCCAAUGGUGACAAGGAAGAAGGCAGAUUCACAGCUCACCUCAAUAAAGCCAGCCUGCAUGUUGCCCUGCACAUCAGAGACUCCCAGCCCAGUGACUCUGCUGUCUACCUCUGUGCAGCGAUGAACAACCUACAAGGAGAAGAUUCUUCCAUGCCCCAAGCAUCUAAGAGACUGGACAUGUCGACAAUAACUGCAGCCACAAAACUUCCAUAG